UGUGUGUGUGUGUGUGUGUGUGUGUGUGUGUGUGUGUGUGCAAGACAGUAAGUGUUGCACGUGUUAAGCUGCCUUGUUUGCAUGAGUGUGUGUGUCUUUUUUGGUCUUGUUAUCUUUGUGUGACACUCCACAUUUAAUUGUGAUGAUAUUUUCCAUUUUUAGGGAUAUUUUAAUUUGGCUCACGCGAGAAAAACGCAAAGCUGACCUCCUUUCCUCCCAUUGGACGGGAUAUUUUAAUUUGGCUCACGCAAGAAAAACGCGAAGCUGACCUCCUUUCCUCCCAUUGGACGUCUCCCCAGCAGGCCUGCAAACUUUGCGGCGUGACGCCUUCGCCGGGGGAAUUUUAGGCAAACAAGUCAGCGCCGGAUCCUCGGGCUCUCCCCGGCUGUGAGCGGAACGCCAUUAGUCUCAGCGCUGACCACAGUUACGGGGCCCUGCUUCCAAAUUACGGCGCCGAGGCCUUUUCCAAUU